UACGUAGGGUGCAAGCGUUGUCCGGAAUUAUUGGGCGUAAAGAGCUCGUAGGCGGCUUGUCGCGUCGGCUGUGAAAACCUGGGGCUCAACCCCGGGCCUGCAGCCGAUACGGGCAAGCUAGAAUUCGGUAGGGGAGGACUGGAAUUCCUGGUGUAGCGGUGGAAAUGACGCAGAUAUCAGGAGGAACACCGAUGGCGAAGGCAGGUCUCUGGGCCGCAACUGACGCUGAGGAGCGAAAGCAUGGGGAGCGAACAGG
rnacentral:rRNA from 1 species